rnacentral:lncRNA from 1 species
CACGACGUGGUGAACUUUUAAAAACGGAUUCAGUAGUACCAAAAUACUCAUAAUGUGCAGACAGACAAAAGAACUGGAAGGAGUCGUGUUUUCAGACACAGGAAGCUUUUCACGUGCUCCACCUGGACCUCAUCUCUCAGCCUCACACUCCGAUCUUCAGCAGCCCCCGCUAUGCGCCCGAGUCUUGGGACGUCAUCCCGGAGCUCCUAGCCUGCCCGGGAGGCAGAGCCAUCAGUUGUCUAUCUUUUAGAUUCUCCUCUUGGCCCCUUAUCCCAACUAAACACAUCACCACUGAGGACCUGUCCAGGGGUUUAGCUCCUGAUGAAGAGACAGAGAAAAGGUCAGAGAAAGGAAGGGUGACGCUCCAUCCAAGAUGACUACAGCGCUAUGAUUUCCAGAUGGGGAAGGUCACGGAUGCUGGACGCAACAGAAUCUCAACAGGGACCCGAGAGAGAGAGGCUCCUCUCUCCCUACACUAAUAUCCCACGAUCCCUGUGUCACUUUCCAGAACACACUGUCAGUUCCAUGGACCUAGGAUUAUAAAAUCCUGUAAGAUUUAUACAGAAAAUAUAAAAAUCUGGGGAGGGGGAACUGUGAAACAAUGUGAAAAAAACUAUUUGUCAAAUGGACAGUGGGGAAUAACUUCUCCUCCCGCACCUCCUCCAAGCUUCUAACAACACUCAUGGCACACAAUACAGAGGAGACUGCCAUAAAAAUGACUUAAAAUGUGCCCUUUUGAGGUAAAGUAACUAUGGGACAAGUGACUAUAAAAAUGACACAGCUG